AAAGCCUGACGCAGCAACGCCGCGUGCGGGAUGAAGGCCUUCGGGUUGUAAACCGCUUUCAGCAGGGAAGAAGCGAAAGUGACGGUACCUGCAGAAGAAGCACCGGCUAACUACGUGCCAGCAGCCGCGGUAAUACGUAGGGUGCAAGCGUUGUCCGGAUUUAUUGGGCGUAAAGAGCUCGUAGGCGGUUAGUCGCGUCGGAUGUGAAAACCCAGUGCUUAACACUGGGCCUGCAUUCGAUACGGGCUGACUAGAGUGUUGUAGGGGAGACUGGAACUCCUGGUGUAGCGGUGAAAUGCGCAGAUAUCAGGAAGAACACCGGUGGCGAAGGCGGGUCUCUGGGCAACUACUGACGCUGAGGAGCGAAAGCGUGGGGAGCAAACAGGAUUARRKACCCUGGUAGUCCACGCCGUAAACGGUGGSCBYWWKGUWWGGGGAACAUUCCACGUUCUCCGUGCCGCAGCUAACGCAUAAG
rnacentral:rRNA from 1 species